rnacentral:rRNA from 1 species
GUAGGGGGCAAGCGUUGUCCGGAUUUAUUGGGCGUAAAGAGCGUGUAGGCGGCUUGGUAGGUCCGCUGUGAAAACUCGAGGCUCAACCUCGAGAUGUCGGCGGAAACCACUUGGCUAGAGUCCGGAAGAGGAGAGUGGAAUUCCCGGUGUAGCGGUGAAAUGCGCAGAUAUCGGGAAGAACACCUAUGGCGAAGGCAGCUCUCUGGGACGGUACUGACGCUGAGACGCGAAAGCGUGGGGAGCGAACAGGAUUAGAUACCCUGGUAGUCCACGCCGUAAACGAUGGGUGCUAGGUGUGGGCGGUGUCGACUCCGUCCGUGCCGAAGCUAACGCAUUAAGCACCCCGCCUGGGGAGUACGGCCGCAAGGCUA